rnacentral:rRNA from 1 species
UACGAGGGGUGCAAGCGUUAUUCGGAAUUACUGGGCGUAAAGGGUGUGUAGGUGGUGUAUUAAGUCUGUUGUUAAAUCUCCUGGCUUAACCGGGAAAUCGUGAUGGAAACUAAUACGCUAGAGUGUGAGAGAGAGAAGUGGAAUUCUCGGAGUAGCGGUAAAAUGCGUAGAUAUCGAGAGGAACACCGAUGGCGAAGGCAGCUUCUUGGCUCACUACUGACACUGAAACACGAAAGCGUGGGGAGCAAACAGG